rnacentral:ncRNA from 1 species
CAACCCGUUUCGGGAACCUUGGUACAGGCAGGCCGGGGAUUCCCUCUUUUACACCGGGCUCAUCACGCUCACAGCGACGAGCCCAACCCGUUUUGGGAACCUUGGUACAGGCAGGCCGGGGAUUCCCUCUUUUACACCAGGCUCAUCACGCUCACAGCGACGAGCCCAACCCGUUUUGGGGACCUUGGUACAGGCAGGCCGGGGAUUCCCUCUUUUAUUCCUCCCGC